rnacentral:rRNA from 1 species
AUUGAACGCUGGCGGCAGGCCUAACACAUGCAAGUCGAGCGAGCGGCGGACGGGUGAGUAAUGUAUGGGGAUCUGCAUGAUGGCGGGGGAUAACUACUGGAAACGGUAGCUAAUACCGCAUACCAUCAGAUGAGCCCAUAUGGGAUUAGCUAGUAGGUAAGGUAACGGCUAACCUAGGCGACGAUCCCUAGCUGGUCUGAGAGGAGGACCAGCCAAACGGGGACUGCGCAACGGCCCCAACUCCUACGGGAGGCAGCAGUGGGGAAUAUUGCACAAUGGGCGCAAGCCUUGUGCAGCCAUGCCGCGGGUAUUAAGAAGGCCUUCGGGUUUUAAAGUACUUUCAGUCGGGAGGCGUUACCGACAGAAUAAGCACCGGCUAACUCCGUGCCAGCAGCCGCGGUAAUAC